AGGCGUUUGCUUGAAAAGUAUUGGCAUGGGUAGUACUAGAUAGUGCUGUCGACCUCUCAAUGUAUUAGGUUUAUCCAACUCGUUGAAUGGUGUGGCGGGAUAUUUCUGGUAUUGUUGGCCCGGCCUUACAACAACCAAACAAGUUUGACCUCAAAUCAGGUAGGAAUACCCGCUGAACUUAAGCAUAUCAAUAAGCGGAGGAAAAGAAACCAACAGGGAUUGCCUUAGUAGCGGCGAGUGAAGCGGCAAAAGCUCAAAUUUGAAAUCUGGCGCCUUCGGUGUCCGAGUUGUAAUUUGAAGAUUGUAACCUUGGGGUUGGCUCUUGUCUAUGUUUCUUGGAACAGGACGUCACAGAGGGUGAGAAUCCCGUGCGAUGAGAUGCCCAAUUCUAUGUAAGGUGCUUUCGAAGAGUCGAGUUGUUUGGGAAUGCAGCUCUAAGUGGGUGGUAAAUUCCAUCUAAAGCUAAAUAUUGGCGAGAGACCGAUAGCGAACAAGUACAGUGAUGGAAAGAUGAAAAGAACUUUGAAAAGAGAGUGAAAAAGUACGUGAAAUUGUUGAAAGGGAAGGGUUUGAGAUCAGACUCGAUAUUUUGUGAGCCUUGCCUUCGUGGCGGGGUGACCCGCAGCUUAUCGGGCCAGCAUCGGUUUGGGCGGUAGGAUAAUGGCGUAGGAAUGUGACUUUACUUCGGUGAAGUGUUAUAGCCUGCGUUGAUGCUGCCUGCCUAGACCGAGGACUGCG
rnacentral:rRNA from 1 species